CCUGCCUUAUUGACCUUCUGAGGAGAUUUGGACUCAUUGAUGAAGCAAUGACUUUUCUAAAUCAGAUGAGAGCAGAUGGAAUUGAAGUUCCUAUAAGUGUUUGGGGAGCUUUGCUUGGAGCCUGUAGAAUUCACAAGAACAUUGCACUGGGUGAGAUUGCUGGUGAGAGGUUAUUGGAACUAGAGCCAAAUAGAUCUGGUAUAUAUUUUAUGUUGGCAGAAAUGUACCUUAGUGUUGGAAGAAGAACAGACGCAUAGCGGAUUUUGGACCGCAUGAAAGAGAAGGGAGUCAAGAAGCAACCAGGUUGUAGUUGGAUUGAGGUAAACAACAAUAGGCACGUGUUUCUUUUGG
rnacentral:lncRNA from 1 species